CCUUGACAUACUAAGAACUUUCCAGAGAUGGAUUGGUGCCUUCGGGAACUUAGAUACAGGUGCUGCAUGGCUGUCGUCAGCUCGUGUCGUGAGAUGUUGGGUUAAGUCCGCAACGAGCGCAACCCUUUUCCUUAUUUGCCAGCGGGUAAUGCCGGGAACUUUAAGGAUACUGCCAGUGACAAACUGGAGGAAGGCGGGGACGACGUCAAGUCAUCAUGGCCUUACGGCCAGGGCUACACACGUGCUACAAUGGUCGGUACAAAGGGUUGCUACCUCGCGAGAGGAUGCUAAUCUCAAAAAGCCGAUCGUAGUCCGGAUCGCAGUCUGCAACUCGACUGCGUGAAGUCGGAAUCGCUAGUAAUCGCGGAUCAGAAUGCCGCGGUGAAUACGUUCCCGGGCCUUGUACACACCGCCCGUCACACCAUGGGAGUUUGUUGCACCAGAAGUAGGUAGUCUAACCGCAAGGAGGACGCUUACCACGGUGUGGCCGAUGACUGGGGUGAAGUCGUAACAAGGUAGGCGUAGAUGA
rnacentral:rRNA from 1 species